rnacentral:rRNA from 1 species
UUCCGGUUGAUCCCGCCGGAGGCUACCGCUAUUGGAGUUCGAUUAAGCCAUGCGAGUCGUGAGUCUUAGGGACUCGGCGUACCGCUCAGUAACACGUGGGUAACCUGCCCUAUGCUGGGGAAUAACCUCGGGAAACUGAGAAUAAUGCCCCAUAGUUCACCACACCUGGAACGGUGGGUGGAUGAAAGCUCCGGCGGCAUAGGAUGGGCCUGCGGCGUAUCAGGUUGUAGGGGGUGUAAUGUACCCUCUAGCCAUCUACGCGUACGGGUGUUGAGAGACAUCGCCCGGAGAUGGAUUCUGAGACACGAAUCCAGACCCUACGGGGUGCAGCAGGCGCGAAAACUUGGCAAUGCGAGCAAUCGUGACCAGGGAACUCCAAGUGCAUCGGGUAAGACCGAUGCUUUUCUUGACUCUUCAAAGGUCUUGGAAUAAGGGGUGGGUAAGGACGGUGCCAGCCGCCGCGGUAAUACCGGCGCCUCAAGUGGUAGUCGCUUUUAUUGGGCCUAAAACGUCCGUAGCCGGUUUGGUACAUUCGUGGGUAAAUCAAGACGCUCAACGUCUUGAAUUCUGCGAGCACGGCCAGACUUGGGACCGGGUGAGGUGUGGGGUACUCUCAGGGUAGGGGUAAAAUCCUGUCAUCCUGAGAGGACCACCUGUUGCGAAGGCGCCACACUAGAACGGAUCCGACGGUCAGGGACGAAGCCUAGGGGCACGAACCGGAUUAGAUACCCGGGUAGUCCUAGGUGUAAACGCUGUGGACUUGAUGUUGGGAGUGCUCCGAGCGCCCUCAGUGUCGAAGCGAAGGUGAUAAGUCCACUGCCUGGGGAGUACGGUCGCAAGGCUGAAACUUAAAGGAAUUGGCGGGGGAGCACUGCAACCUGAGGAUUGUGCGGUUUAAU